UACGGAGGGGGCUAGCGUUGUUCGGAAUUACUGGGCGUAAAGCGCGUGUAGGCUGUUCUGCAAGUCGGGUGUGAAAGCCCCGGGCUCAACCUGGGAAGUGCACUCGAAACUGCAGAACUCGAGUCCUGGAGAGGAAGGCGGAAUUCUCGGUGUAGAGGUGAAAUUCGUAGAUAUCGAGAGGAACACCGGUGGCGAAGGCGGCCUUCUGGACAGUGACUGACGCUGAGACGCGAAAGCGUGGGGAGCAAACAGG
rnacentral:rRNA from 1 species